UUGAUCUAGUACUAAAAUAUAGCAUUUUUUUUCCUUGGAAGUAAUAUUUAAGCAGAAUUUAAGUGAGACAAUUACCUCAAAACAAUUGCCCAUGAGAAUUAGUAGUUUUGGGGAAAUUUUCCUACUCAUUUAUAAUAAACUGAGUGAAUUUGUGCUCUUCCGACUUAAUAUCAGGAAAUCAUGGUGGUGCUGAGCUUCAUGCAAACACAUACUUGAGGCAAGCCCAUAAGAUCCAGAGAAUAGCAAAUAUUGACCCUCUUGUGUCAGUGGAAAAGCAAGGACAAAACUGGCUGUGGGCAGAUCAAAUUUCAUUUUCAAUAUAAAUAUUUGGUGUAUUCUUCCUGCUUUCAGCUCAGCUCUCAUUGUUGAUGCUAACAGGUUGAAAUCCCUGCUCCUGCAGUUUGCCUCUGUGUAAGAAAUUGUUCACAUGUCAAGUUCUUUGGGACUCUCACGGUCCAGAUAGCACACCGCCAUCUCUUCCUCUUCUGACCUCCAAAACCGUAUCUCGUAGUGUCUCAUGCAGGUUCCUUGAGGCAACAGAUUGAUAUACAUUUUGGAUACUCUGGAAAACAACACCGGCAGGGGAAUGCUUGGGCUUGGGUGCAGGUAUUCCAGAACAUCAGCACACUGGUUUGCGACACCUCACUACACCCUUUUGAUGAGAAAUGUCUGCAAGUUACUGUGAAAUUGCUCCUAUUCAGGUAGGCUAAGGUAAAAUGCAAGUGAAAGGAUUUGUUUACAGCAGUAAGCAAAACAGUCACAGAUAGUCCUGGGAGGCUUAAAUGGAAAAAAGAAAAAAAACAUAUGAAGCUUUCUGAAUUCAUCUUUAUGUGCUAUCUCGCUGGUGCUCUCCUGUCUCACACCUUGCUGGGGACUUUGACCUCCUUCCUCACUCUGGGCUCAGGUCUCCAAUGAUUUUCCAGGGAUUUAGCUGCCACUGCUGCUGCAAGCAUCAGUCCUACAACCCUGCUGCCUGUGGCCGUGUGGUCCUGCCCUGCCAGCUCAUCCACGGUGGCCCUAGACAUGCUGGCGGGGCUGUGCGGUGACAGGGGCUAGAGCAUCCCUCUGUGCUGACACUCACCUCUAUUUCUUGCUGUUGUCAGGUUACCUUUCUCUGGAUCAUUUCUUUGACCUUCCAGCCCACAAGGCUGCACCAACGCUCGGACUGACCCCAGUGAGAAGGCAGUUACCACAUUUGGAAGCUGGAAUAUUCCCUUAUAUUGGAAAAUAAGAGUCAAGUUCCUUGGGCCAUGCCUGGGUUAUCCUGUAAAGUCCAUUGGCAAAGCAAGAAAUAAGAAAGAGAUGUUCAGGAUCUGAAUAUCUAACUAUCACUGGUCUGUUGUCCUUGAAUUAGGUAAUUUCUAUUUGAUUUAAUAUGAAAUGUAUUAAAUAAAUUAAUAAAUGUUUGAGAUUUUUCAUGUCCCAAA